CCUACGGGUGGCAGCGGUCGAGAAUCAUUCACAAUGGGGGAAACCCUGAUGGUGCGACGCCGCGUGGGGGAAUGAAGGUCUUCGGAUUGUAAACCCCUGUCAUGUGGGAGCAAAUUAAAAAGAUAGUACCACAAGAGGAAGAGACGGCUAACUCUGUGCCAGCAGCCGCGGUAAUACAGAGGUCUCAAGCGUUGUUCGGAAUCACUGGGCGUAAGGCGUGCGUAGGCUGUUUCGUAAGUCGUGUGUGAAAGGCGCGGGCUCAACCCGCGGACGGCACAUGAUACUGCGAGACUAGAGUAAUGGAGGGGGAACCGGAAUUCUCGGUGGAGCAGUGAAAUGCGUAGAUAUCGAGGGGAACACUCGUGGCGAAGGCGGGUUCCUGGACAGUAACUGACGCUGAGGCACGAAGGCCAGGGGAGCGAAAGGGAUUAGAUACCCCAGUAGUC
rnacentral:rRNA from 1 species